AUUUAACAGCUUAAAUAAUAUAAUUUACUAUAUAAUUUACCUUAUAUUUAUUAUUUAUAGCCAAGGUCCAAAAUAUAAAGAUCCUGAUUUACAGCAGAUUUCAAUCACCGGCUGGUAGGGCUUGAACAGAGUCCUGUAGGAGUAUAGUCCCCUUGGAAUCCAAUCUCUGUGCGCUUGUAGCAGAAGAAGAGCAGCGAGGCCUCACACGGCGCUGGAGCAGCUGGCGGUACUUGAGGAUGGCGCUGUGUGUCUUUUGGACCUCUGGGAGCACACAGCCCACGCGUGGAAGUACUCAGGAGUGAGUUGGUUGAACUGAAGCUUGAAGUCACGCAAGUUACAGAUGUAACUUGUCUGUUUGUAUACGCUGUGUUUCGUUUUCGUAUUGCUAAGACGAUACAUGAAAUGACUCGUGGUGGAAAGGAGUAUUUGGCCAUAAUAAGCAAGUAUGAUCCAAUAGUCAUUAGGGUUUCCCUCAGAUUCGUUGUAGCCGUAAUUUUAAUAUAGAAAGUCUUAAAUGUUACAUUACCUGUCAAUAAUGAAUACAAUUAUUCAACACAUUUAGAAAUCCAUUCUUGCGCUCUGUGGCCAGUUGUGGUAAAUUUCGGUAAUGUUAUUUUUUUAAAAACAGAUAAUUUGGAAUCUUAUAAAUAUGGAUCAUUAUCAGCUGAUAAAAACAUAUUUGCAGUCGAGUACAGAUUUAAGUGCGGUACGCUAAUCCUCAAUUGGCAGAAAACAACAUCUCGGGCGAUGGUGUUUUCAAGACCGCAUUGGGCCAGAAAUUAAAUUAAAAAUAUAUCAUUGUGGAUACACUUGUGAGGGGGUGGUGAAUAUGCAAGGGCCCUCGUUUACACACAAAAUAUAACAAAACUGAUAACUUUUAUUGGACAUUUGUUAUUGUCUUGGGGUUCGUUUUUAAUAAAGCUGGACUGAAAGCUU